rnacentral:rRNA from 1 species
UACGAAGGGGGGCUAGCGUUGCUCGGAAUCACUGGGCGUAAAGCGCACGUAGGCGGCUUCUUAAGUCAGGGGUGAAAUCCUGGAGCUCAACUCCAGAACUGCCUUUGAUACUGAGGAGCUUGAGUCCGGGAGAGGUGAGUGGAACUGCGAGUGUAGAGGUGAAAUUCGUAGAUAUUCGCAAGAACACCGGUGGCGAAGGCGACUCGCUGGACAGGUAUUGACGCUGAGGUGCGAAAGCGUGGGGAGCAAACAGG